CCUACGGGGGCAGCAGUGGGGAAUAUUGGACAAUGGGCGAAAGCCUGAUCCAGCCAUGCCGCGUGUGUGAAGAAGGCCUUCGGGUUGUAAAGCACUUUCAGUGGGGAAGAAAGCCUUGGGGCUAAUACCCUCGAGGAAGGACAUCACCCACAGAAGAAGCACCGGCUAACUCCGUGCCAGCAGCCGCGGUAAUACGGAGGGUGCGAGCGUUAAUCGGAAUUACUGGGCGUAAAGCGCGCGUAGGCGGUCUGAUAAGCCGGUUGUGAAAGCCCCGGGCUCAACCUGGGAACGGCAUCCGGAACUGUCAGGCUAGAGUGCAGGAGAGGAAGGUAGAAGUCCCGGUGUAGCGGUGAAAUGCGUAGAGAUCGGGAGGAAUACCAGUGGCGAAGGCGGCCUUCUGGACUGACACUGACGCUGAGGUGCGAAAGCGUGGGUAGCAAACAGGAUUAGAUACCCGUGUAGUC
rnacentral:rRNA from 1 species